rnacentral:rRNA from 1 species
CCUACGGGAGGCAGCAGUGAGGAAUAUUGGUCAAUGGACGCAAGUCUGAACCAGCCAUGCCGCGUGCAGGAAGACGGCUCUAUGAGUUGUAAACUGCUUUUGUACGAGGGCAAACUCAGAUACGUGUAUCUGUCUGAAAGUAUCGUACGAACAAGGAUCGGCUAACUCCGUGCCAGCAGCCGCGGUAAUUCGGAGGAUUCAAGCGUUAUCCGGAUUUAUUGGGUUUAAAGGGUGCGUAGGCGGUCGGAUAAGUUAGCGGUGAAAUCCCGAGGCUCAACUUCGGAAUUGCCUCUGAUACUGUGCGGCUAGAGAGUAGUAGAGGUAGGCGGAAUGUAUGGUGUAGCGGUGAAAUGCUUAGAGAUCAGACAGAACACCGAUUGCGAAGGCAGCUUACCGGGCUACUUCUGACGUUGAGGCACGAAAGCGUGGGGAGCAAACAGGAUUAGAUACCCUUGUAGUC